rnacentral:rRNA from 1 species
CCCUUAGAUGUCCUGGGCCGCACGCGGGCUACACUGAUGCAUGCAACGAGUUUAUAACCUUGGCCUGAAAGGUCUGGGUAAUCUUUUGAACGUGCAUCGUGAUAGGGAUAGAUUAUUGCAAUUGUUAAUCUUGAACGAGGAAUUCCUAGUAAACGCGAGUCAUCAGCUCGCAUUGAUUACGUCCCUGCCCUUUGUACACACCGCCCGUCGCACCUACCGAUUGAAUGGUUCGGUGAAGAUCUCGGACUUCGAUAUUUAUUCUUUAUUGAGUUUAUAUUGUGGGAAGUUAUCUAAACCUCAUCAUUUAGAGGAAGGUGAAGUCGUAACA